GCGUGAGUGAUGAAGGCCUUAGGGUUGUAAAGCUCUUUCACCGGUGAAGAUAAUGACGGUAACCGGAGAAGAAGCUCCGGCUAACUUCGUGCCAGCAGCCGCGGUAAUACGAAGGGAGCUAGCGUUGUUCGGAAUUACUGGGCGUAAAGCGCACGUAGGCGGACUGUUAAGUCGGGGGUGAAAUCCCGGGGCUCAACCCCGGAACUGCCCUCGAUACUGGCAGUCUUGAGUUCGAGAGAGGUGAGUGGAAUUCCGAGUGUAGAGGUGAAAUUCGU
rnacentral:rRNA from 1 species